CAAGUCAAUCUGGCAACAAGCGGCCAUUUAUAAAUAUUGACGUUUAAUGCGGAAAUUAAGACAUUAAGUUGAUUAAACAAUAUAGAUCUAGAUAUAUAAUAGAUCUAUAUGAAUUGAUCUACAAACAAUAUAUUCUUGAUUUAUUAUAAAAACAAUGAUAUACUUUUUGCUUUUGGGAAGCUAUAUAUUGACAUCAUAUAUACUACUCAAGCAUCCUAACAUUCUGCAUAAAAAGAAAAAUCUCAUGUUUAGAGCUAAACAUAUUAGCCACAGGGGAGGUGCAGCUGAAAGAAUUGAGAAUACAAUGGAAGCCUUUAGAAAAUGUGGAUUUCAAGACGAAAUGAUGCUUUCUUAUUCCUAAGAGUUUAUAAACAGAAUGGAUGCCAGAAACUUUUAAACUGAAACUUCUAUACAAGAAUUCGUUCAGUGCCUGUGAUCCUCUGAGCUGAAGGAGAAUGACUGUGCUCCAUAAUACCUACCAGUAUUUUGCUGUUAGCUGGAAGCUCAUGAAUAUUAUGUUGUCCUUGCUAUGAUGAUAUUCAAACUACAAUUUCUGAGGACU
rnacentral:sRNA from 1 species